GGGCCUCUAGCUCAGCUAGGCAGAGCACUGGGCUCUUAACCCAGGGGUCGGGGGUUCGAUUCCCCCGAGGCCCG
rnacentral:tRNA from 1 species